GACGAACCGUGCGAACGUUGUUCGGAAUCACUGGGCUUAAAGGGCGCGUAGGCGGCCCGCGAGGUCGGGGGUGAAAUGCCACGGCUCAACCGUGGAAGGGCCUCCGAUACCGGCGGGCUGGAGGGAGGUAGGGGUGCGCGGAACUUCUGGUGGAGCGGUGAAAUGCGUUGAUAUCAGAAGGAACGCCGGCGGCGAAAGCGGCGCACUGGACCUCUACUGACGCUGAGGCGCGAAAGCCAGGGGAGCAAACGGG
rnacentral:rRNA from 1 species